rnacentral:rRNA from 1 species
AAGCCAGACUCCUACGGGAGGCAGCAGUGAGGAAUAUUGGUCAAUGGGCGGGAGCCUGAACCAGCCAAGCCGCGUGAAGGAAGAAGGCGCCAGGCGUCGUAAACUUCUUUUGUCGGGGAACAAAGGGCGCCACGCGUGGCGUUGUGAGUGUACCCGAAGAAAAAGCAUCGGCUAACUCCGUGCCAGCAGCCGCGGUAAUACGGAGGAUGCGAGCGUUAUCCGGAUUUAUUGGGUUUAAAGGGUGCGUAGGCGGACCGGAAAGAGGGGGAAAAAAGCGGGGGGCACAACCCCGGCGAGCCGUUGAAACAGUCGGACUAGAGACGGCGAGAAGUACGCGGAAUGCGCGGUGUAGCGGUGAAAUGCAUAGAUAGCGCGCAGAACUCCGAUUGCGAAGGCAGCGUACCGGCGCCGGACUGACGCUGAGGCACGAAAGCGUGGGUAUCGAACAGGAUUAGAUACCGCGGUA